CAAAAGCUUUGCCUGCAAGCAUGUUCCUCAGGCGGCUGCAGGUUUGUUCUUCUUCAACUUCUCAUCGAUGAAUUUCCUUGUGUCGGCACCCUUCACAUUGAAUUCCAUCAGCAGAUCUUCGUACAGCACCUUCAAGCUUGGAUUGAAUGAGCUGCGUCUCUUCGUAGGGAUUGCCUUGAUCACUCCUAGCUCUGGUGCACUACCCGAUGCUCCAGCAUCACCGCUCUUGUGUUCUGAUGACUCUUCCUCCUCCUCCUCCUCCUCCUCCUCUGGCACCACUGACCCAAUAUCAUUACCCGCCAUGUAGUGCUUGCAUGCCGCGAGAAUCGUGUGCCCAUGCACCCGAAAGUGGCCAGCGACAAGAUCUGCAAAGUGCUGUGAGGACAACACACGCCAAAGCUGGAUCAGUUCGGCUAGGCAGCAGAAGCCCAAAUUCAAAUUUUAGAAACAAAUUACCUCUGGAGGCCUCCGAAGUGAGUAUAACAUAGUCUUGCAUGAGUGCAGAAAGGUGUUGUCAUUAUAGUCCAAAGCCAACCGCUCUCCAUUCGGAGUGUUGGCAUAGGACUCAUAUCCUGGCUCGUUGUAAUAUGGCUUGUCAUUCAAAAUCAGAGCUUGAAUGGAGACAAGAACUUGCAGCAUUGUCGAUUGAGCUGGAUUCCACUUCUCACAACCUCUACCAUCCCAGGUACCCAACAGGCUAAGACACACUUUCCCAUUGUUAUACAAGUUUGGAUUAAUCCGAAGUCCUCCAGAGUGGUAAUAUACCAGCUGUAACCCCCCAUAUCAUCAGAGAUUAAAAAAAAAUCAAGAAAAGCAUGAACGACUAUAAAUAAAAAAAAAUGACUAGUAACAUGACAAAGUUUGUGGUAUAUAUACCGGGGGAGCACAAGGAUAAGCAGAGGGAAUGUGAAUAUCAAAGAAGAAAAGCCCAUCAUGGUAAGGUGUUCCCUUGGGCCCAAUAAUCGCAGCCCUAAGAAGGUCCAUUCUAUCUUCAGCAACCCGGACAAAAAUAUACGCUGCACAGAAGAAAACCAAUAGGAUUUAUAUACCUCCAUAAGAUACAAAAAAAUACAUUGAAACAAUGUACGGUCAAUAAGGAAGUCAUGGCUAAAUAAGUGUAUUGCACUCCAGUUAAGUGCUUAACAAAGAUGAGUAUGGGACAUAAUGAUACAUGAGGAAGCCUUGGAGAUAUAAUAAGAUUAAAAACCUCACCACAUUAAACAACUUCAAAAACCUUAAAGGUUUGACUAAAAGGGACUGGAGGGAGUAAUUUACCCAGGGAAACACUGUCCAGACCAUUCAGGAUGAUUUGUACCUUCUUACAGCAGUAGACAUGGCCCUAACAGAUAGAUAUCAUGGUUCAAAUUGAUUAAACAAAAUUAUUAUAUGACUUGAAUGAUAAUCUGGGUUUACGAGGCAAGGGAGGACACUGGUCACACAUGAAGAAAGCUAUAGGCUUGGCCACACAUGAAGAAAGCAUUUUCCAAUGUUGGUUUUGUCCCUAAUGUUAUGAAGACGUAAUCCCCCCUUUUUUAUUCGUAAUAUAAAAAAGAGGUCAUACUAUUACUAAGCCAUACAAGAAAAAAGCAACAAUAUUUUGCUCAUAGCUAACCUGGUAGAUCCUUCUCCAGAAGUUUCCAGUCAUGUUGAACUCUCUUUGACCAGGCUCUGUUUGGCUGAAACAAUAUAUACAAGCAAGAAUAGGUAAGCACCCAAACAAAGCAGAAAACAAGAGCACAUACUAGUUGAGCAUCUCACCUCUCCAUGAGAAUUCUUAGCGUAGUAAUGGUCAGAGAAAUUCUGAACAGUAUCAAACUGCUUGAACUGCGUAUAUUUAUUUGCAUUCUCAUCUGCAGUAUUUGAUUUAGGUGGCUCUUUGACAUCUUCCUUGGGUGUAGUUUUCUGCAACCAAGGUACGGUGGCCUCCACGCCUGGAGGAAGAUCCA
rnacentral:lncRNA from 1 species